rnacentral:rRNA from 1 species
UACGGAGGAUGCGAGCGUUAUCCGGAUUUAUUGGGUUUAAAGGGUGCGUAGGCGGACUGUCAAGUCAGCGGUAAAAUUGAGAGGCUCAACCUCUUCCCGCCGUUGAAACUGGUGGUCUUGAGUGGAUGAGAAGUACGCGGAGUGCGUGGUGUAGCGGUGAUAUGCAUAGAUAUCACGCAGAACUCCGAUUGCGAAGGCAGCGUACCGACAUCCAACUGACGCUGAGGCACGAAAGCGUGGGGAUCAAACAGG